GACAAAUACAUUUCCUGCCUAAUCUUAGGUACAUGUAGUUAGGUUUAAAUGAUAGAACCAAAAACAGAUUGAAAACAAAUAAAUUAAUAAACAAAAAGAACAAUGAAAAGGCAAAACAUGAUUUUGUUCCCUGUAAGGUCAAAUAAUAGUUCCAAUAUCUAGCUGAAAAUCAACUAUAUAUAGCUAAGGGAACAGUUAAGUAAAGGGUAAAGACACAUCUUUUAAUCUUUAAUUUCUAUCCAAACUUACCCGUACGUGCCACUUUACAUAUACAUGUGACCAAACCCAAAUCUGAAGUAUUGUGCACUAAUUUUGGC
rnacentral:lncRNA from 1 species